rnacentral:rRNA from 1 species
UACGUAGGGUGCAAGCGUUAAUCGGAAUUACUGGGCGUAAAGGGCUCGUAGGUGGCCAAUUAAGUCAGACGUGAAAUCCCCAGGCUCAACUUGGGAACUGCGUCUGAUACUGGUUGGCUUGAAUUCGGGAGAGGGAUGCAGAAUUCCAGGUGUAGCGGUGAAAUGCGUAGAUAUCUGGAGGAAUACCGGUGGCGAAGGCGGCAUCCUGGACCGAGAUUGACACUGAUGAGCGAAAGCCAGGGGAGCAAACGGG